rnacentral:miRNA from 2 species
CAAAAACUGCAGUUACUUUUG